GGCCUAGUAGCUGAAGGCUUCUGCACCUGCUUCCAAUUGUGCGGCUACUGUGAGGUCUCAGCAGGAGGUGUUUGUUCGACUCGAGCUUGGGCCA